GGCGGACGGGUGAGGAACACGUAGGAAUCUACCUAGAAGAGCGGGACAACCUUGGGAAACCGGGGCUAAUACCGCAUAGUACAGUGAUGUUAAAGGGCUAGCAAUAGUCGCUUCUAGAUGAGCCUGUGGUCUAUCAGCUUGUUGGCGGGGUAACGGCCCACCAAGGCGACGACGGAUAGCCGGUCUGAGAGGAUGAUCGGCCACACUGGCACUGAGACACGGGCCAGACUCCUACGGGAGGCAGCAGUUAAGAAUCUUGCGCAAUGGACGAAAGUCUGACGCAGCGACGCCGCGUGAAGGAUGAAGGCUUUCGGGUUGUAAACUUCGGUAGACUGGGAAGAAAAAGUAAGUUCGUUGAGGGCUUACAUUGACGGUACCAGUCUGAAGCCCCGGCUAAUUACGUGCCAGCAGCCGCGGUAAUACGUAUGGGGCAAGCGUUGUUCGGAAUUAUUGGGCGUAAAGGGCUCGCAG
rnacentral:rRNA from 1 species